GGCCAGGUAGCCAAGUGGUAAGGCAGGGGCCUGCAAAGCCUCUAUUCGUGGGUUCGAUCCCCGCUCUGGCCU
rnacentral:tRNA from 1 species